ensembl:lncRNA
CCUUCCUCCUUCCUUCCUGUCGAGUGUUCUGCCUGACUACACAAACUCAAUGCGCGCGGCUCCCCCGUUGCAAGAAGUGGACUUGACCGGAGCUAAAACCAACAAAGGCAGAUUCUGGUGGGAGCUGCGGAAGCGCCGGGCACUGAGUCAACAGGAGGAACCGGACAAAUUUUUUCGGGUGCUAGGUAGUUUUUGGCUUAGAAGGAGGAACAGAUACUUUGGCCAUCUGAUGCAAAGAAAGGACUCAUUUGAAAAGACCCUGAUGCUGGGAAAGACUGAAGGCGGGAGAAGGGGACGACAGAGGAUGAGAUGGUUGGAUGGCAUCACCAUUCAACGUGAGUUUGAGCAAACUCCGGGGGACAGUGAAGGACAGGGAAGCCUGGCGUGCUGCGGUCCGUGGGGUCUCAAAGAGUUGGAACUGAACUGAAGGAACAGAUGUCUUCUGUCUUUUGUUUUUGUUGUUGUUGCUGUUGUUUUUGGUAGUGCCUCUUUAUCCACCUACCCAACACAUACACAGAGUUUUGGGCCUGUAAUAAGUGAUCAAUAAUUGUUGGAUUGGAUUGAGCUGAGCUGAGUAGAUUUAAAUUGAAUAGAGCUGGACCUACAAAACACUCAGAAUUGCACUAACAGCAGUAGCGUGAUGGCAUUUUUUCUGUGGUACAUCUGAUAGCUCUGUUUGCCCGGUGUGUCCAUUUUCCCUUAGCAUAGAACAGCACCUGAUUUGCAACCAGAGGAUCACCCUCCCCUACUCACUGUCCAAGGGAUUCACAUACAUGGCUGCAAGGCCACAGCUAGUCCACAGGAUACCUUUGUGCAAAUUAAAGUCAUACACCCCUUCCUCCAGGCAGAACACCAGGCUUGCCCAGCAAGUAGCUGGUGCUGCACUGCCUGGUCAGCUGGAAGUUAUACAUGGUUCACAAUUAGCCUCAGUCGUUCUCAUUUGCAGCAGUACACUUACUCACACUGGCCAAUCAGCCCAUUCAACUUCUCAGGCCACAGUAAAGAGUUUCAGAAACAGAAAUGUGAACUGAGUUGAGCUUAUGAAAGUUAGCCAGAGAACUUUAGCUGGAAUUAUAGAAAUGAGGCAUUCUUACUUUCUGGUGGAAUGAUUAAAUGGCGGCAUACAGAUUUGGAGCUGCACUUGACUAUCAUCAUCAUCAUCAAUGAGGAAGAGUCAGCAAAAGGUGCAUGAGAUGGAAUCAAUGACAGAUUAUGAAUCGUAUCCUAUGAGUACCUGGAUUCAGUCAUGUCUGAAUCAAAUCACCUUUUCAGUUAUGUUUAAAAGCCAAUAAAUUCUUUUUUUUUGAAUAAGCCAGUUUAAUGAUUCUCUGUCAUUUAUAAGCCCAAAAAAAUCUUAACCAGAAUGAUUGUUAUGGCAGGAAGAGAUAAAUCUUACAAUUGAUGGUAUUUAUGUAACUGAAUUUAUCUGGUAUUUUGACAUCAGUGCAGUUCAUAAUCCUUUCAGUAACAGGUAACUCAGUAUAAAUCAAUCUUAUAAACAAGCAUUGUCUUUUCUCCUUCAGUAUACAAU